rnacentral:lncRNA from 1 species
UUUUAAUGGGGACAAGUUAUAAAACAUCAUGAAAUAAAUCCUCUUUCAGAAAACAAUAACAGUAAACAGUAAUAUUUGUUUCAUGUAAGAAAGAUGAACUAAUUGUUCAGUAAUAAACUCAAUAAAUAUUAAGUCAUAUCAAAUAUUCACAUUUGAGAGGUUUUCAAGAAUGAAUCAUGUAAUCAGUGUGGCAUUCUACCUCGAGAAUAACCAAUAACAGUGGACCCC